rnacentral:tRNA from 1 species
AUCUUUCUAUUAUAACGUUAGUAUAGGUGACUUCCAAUCACCGGGUCUUGGUUAAAAUCCAAGGAAAGAUA